AUGCUCACUUUGGCAGCAUAAAUAUUAAAAUUGGAACUAUAUAGAGAAAAUUAGCAAGACCCCCUGCACAAGAACGACACACCAAUUCAUGCAGCAUUCUAUAUUUUA
ensembl:snRNA U6 U6 spliceosomal RNA